GCCCCCGGAGCAGAAUGGAGGUGUAAUUGUGCUAAGGAGUUAGCAGGGGAGAGCGCAGCUUUUGGUCACAUUCAAGUUGGAGGUCUUGAGCCAGGGAGGAGAUCCCGGUGAGUGGAGAAGGGAUUUCUCAAGCCCGUGAGCUCCUUGUUGUGCAGUUGGCUGCCACCUGCCUGGACUCGCUGGCUGAUGCCUCCAGGAUCCUCCAGGAGGGUCCCAACCUGCUGCAGCGAUGGCACCGCGAGGAGGAAGCUCAUGAACAGAGGGUUCCUGCAGUGCCUCGCAUCCCACCGCUGCGGGGAGGGACGGGGAACCAAGGGAAAACCCCACCUAACUCCUGUACACCUCCGGUACCCCAAACACCCCCAGCAGGACCACAGCGCUCAGAGAGAUCUGAGCAAGCCACAGCUCCAAAAUGCUGGGUGCACGAAGUGGGCAGGAGGCAGGUCGGAGCUGGCCGGACCCUGCUUUCAGCAGGUUUUUGAGGUUGGGCUCUGCUCAUGGAGCAGGGCUUGGCCCUUGCUGCUCAACCACAGGGCACCGAGUGUGUGUGGAGCCCCCAGGACUGUGACCAUCUCCGGGCCAGGCAGCCCUGCUGCUGCUUUCUUGCACUGUAAAAAAAAAAAAAAAAAAAAGAACAAAAAAUAAAAAUAAAAAGGAGAGGUGAGAGGCUGGGAUAUGGUGG
rnacentral:lncRNA from 1 species